GAUGAACGCUGGCGGCGUGCUUAACACAUGCAAGUCGAACGAAGAUGCCGGAGUGCUUGCACUUUGGCAGACUGAGUGGCGGACGGGUGAGUAACGCGUGGGUAACCUGCCUUAUACAGGGGGAUAACAGUUGGAAACGACUGCUAAUACCGCAUAAGCGCACGGUAUCGCAUGAUACAGUGUGAAAAACUCCGGUGGUAUAAGAUGGACCCGCGUCUGAUUAGCUUGUUGGUGAGGUAACGGCCCACCAAGGCGACGAUCAGUAGCCGGCCUGAGAGGGUNAACGGCCACAUUGGGACUGAGACACGGCCCAAAACGUCCUACGGGAGGCAGCAGUGGGGAAUAUUGCACAAUGGGG
rnacentral:rRNA from 1 species